rnacentral:rRNA from 1 species
GGGCGAAAGCUGAUGCAGCCAUGCCGCGUGUAUGAAGAAGGCUUCGGGUUGUAAAGUACUUUCAGUCGUGAGGAAGGGUGUGUAGUUAAUAGCUGCAUAUCUUGACGUUAGCGACAGAAGAAGCACCGGCUAACUCCGUGCCAGCAGCCGCGGUAAUACGGAGGGUGCGAGCGUUAAUCGGAAUUACUGGGCGUAAAGCGCAUGCAGGUGGUUCAUUAAGUCAGAUGUGAAAGCCCGGGGCUCAACCUCGGAACCGCAUUUGAAACUGGUGAACUAGAGUGCUGUAAGGGGGGUAGAAUUUCAGGUGUAGCGGUGAAAUGCGUAAGAUCUGAAGGAAUACCAGUGGCGAAGGCGGCCCCCUGGACAGACACUGACACUCAGAUGCGAAAGCGUGGGGAGCAAACAGGAUUAGAUACCCUGGUAGUCCACGCCGUAAACGAUGUCUACUUGGAGGUUGUGGCCUUGAGCCGUGGCUUUCGGAGCUAACGCGUUAAGUAGACCGCCUGGGGAGUACGGUCGCAAGAUUAAAACUCAAAUGAAUUGACGGGGGCCCGCACAAGCGGUGGAGCAAUGUGGUUUAAUUCGAUGCACGCGAAGAACUUACUACUCUUGACAUCUACGAAUCGCUAGAGAUAGCUUAGUGCUUCGGGACUGU